UACAGAGGGUGCAAGCGUUAAUCGGAAUUACUGGGCGUAAAGCGUGCGUAGGCGGUUAUGUAAGUCAGGGGUGAAAUCCCCGGGCUUAACCUGGGAACUGCAUUUGAGACUGCAUAGCUAGAGUACGGUAGAGGGGGAUGGAAUUCCGCGUGUAGCAGUGAAAUGCGUAGAUAUGCGGAGGAACACCGAUGGCGAAGGCAAUCCCCUGGGCCUGCACUGACGCUCAUGCACGAAAGCGUGGGGAGCAAACAGG
rnacentral:rRNA from 1 species